UACGGAGGGGCAAGCGUUGUUCGGAAUUACUGGGCGUAAAGGGCGCGCAGGCGGCUGCUCAAGUCAGGCGUGAAAGGCCUGGGCUCAACCCGGGAAUUGCGCUUGAGACUGGGCUGGCUUGAGUGCGGGAGAGGGAUGCAGAAUUCCAGGUGUAGCGGUGAAAUGCGUAGAUAUCUGGAGGAACACCGGUGGCGAAGGCGGCAUCCUGGACCGACGACUGACGCUGAGGAGCGAAAGCCAGGGGAGCAAACGGG
rnacentral:rRNA from 1 species